AUUGAACGCUGGCGGCAGGCCUAACACAUGCAAGUCGAGCGGAUGAAGGGAGCUUGCUCCUGGAUUUAGCGGCGGACGGGUGAGUAAUGCCUAGGAAUCUGCCUGGUAGCGGGGGAUAACGUCCGGAAACGGGCGCUAAUACCGCAUACGUCCUGAGGGAGAAAGUGGGGGAUCUUCGGACCUCACGCUAUCAGAUGAGCCUAGGUCGGAUUAGCUAGUUGGUGGGGUAAAGGCCUACCAAGGCGACGAUCCGUAACUGGUCUGAGAGGAUGAUCAGUCACACUGGAACUGAGACACGGUCCAGACUCCUACGGGAGGCAGCAGUGGGGAAUAUUGGACAAUGGGCGAAAGCCUGAUCCAGCCAUGCCGCGUGUGUGAAGAAGGUCUUCGGAUUGUAAAGCACUUUAAGUUGGGAGGAAGGGCAGUAAGUUAAUACCUUGCUGUUUUGACGUUACCAACAGAAUAAGCACCGGCUAACUUCGUG
rnacentral:rRNA from 1 species